rnacentral:lncRNA from 1 species
GGUAUUUAUUUCACUUGAAGCUAGACGAGGGAAGGCAGAAAGCGGAACAAGGGAAGCUCUGGAGCUGCUGCUCUUGCCUGAUGUUUCAUUUCUGUCGUUUCGCUAGCUUUCCCUCACAGCCUACUCCAUCGCCUGCCUCUGCGUUAAUGAGUCAACACAAAAGGCUCAGCUGUUUGUUUAAUGCAUGUUCCACCCCUUUUUCAGGCAAGACAUGAUACGACACCACCCCAUCCUUCAGAUUGCUAUUCGGUUUUGUGUCUUACGAUUCAAUUUCGGUUGCAAAAAUGUUAAAGGUGUUUAUUUGUUGGUUGAAUCGAUCAAAUAUAC